GAUGAACGCUAGCGAUAGGCUUAACACAUGCAAGUCGAGGGGCAGCAUGGUCUUAGCUUGCUAAGACUGAUGGCGACCGGCGCACGGGUGCGUAACGCGUAUGCAACUUGCCUCACAGAGGGGGAUAACCCGUCGAAGGACGGACUAAUACCGCGUACACUCCAUCUUGGGCAUCCAAGGUAGAGGAAAUGAAAUUCGCUGUGAGAUAGGCAUGCGUCCCAUUAGCUAGUUGGUGAGGUAACGGCUCACCAAGGCGACGAUGGGUAGGGGAACUGAGAGGUUGAACCCCCACACUGGUACUGAGACACGGACCAGACUCCUACGGGAGGCAGCAGUGAGGAAUAUUGGUCAAUGGGCGAGAGCCUGAACCAGCCAAGUCGCGUGAAGGAUGACUGACUUAUGGAUUGUAAACUUCUUUUAUACGGGAAUAACAAGAGUCACGUGUGACUCCCUGCAUGUACCGUAUGAAUAAGCAUCGGCUAACUCCGUG
rnacentral:rRNA from 1 species